AGAAAAUUGUAAUCUUGAAGCGGUACCGAAAUCAAAUCAGACAACGAAUGUUACCGUCGACCACGAUGCUACUGUCAUCGUAGAAUGUGACUAUGGCUACACUUCUGAGUCGGGUAUUACUACUACAGAACUCACUUGUAAUAAUGGGAUUUUCUCCCCUUCACCUCCUACAUGUUCCGAAAAUUGUAAUCUUGAAGCGGUACCGAAAUCAAAUCAGACAACGAAUGUUACCGUCGACCACAAUGCUACUGUCAUCGUAGAAUGUGACUCUGGCUACACUUCUGAGUCGGGUAUUACUACUACAGAACUCACUUGUAAUAAUGGGAGUUUCUCCCCUUCACCUCCUACAUGUUCCG